rnacentral:tRNA from 1 species
UUAAUUGAAACCAAAAAGAGGUAUACCACUGUUAAUGGUAAAAUUGAGGUUUUCUCCAAUUAAA